UACAGAGGGGGCAAGCGUUAUUCGGAAUUAUUGGGCGUAAAGGGCGCGUAGGCGGCAUGGCAAGUGGAUGGUGAAAUCCCUCGGCUUAACCGAGGAACUGCCGUCCAAACUGCUUCGCUUGAGACCGGGAGAGGUGAGUGGAAUUCCCAGUGUAGCGGUGAAAUGCGUAGAUAUUGGGAGGAACACCAGUGGCGAAGGCGGCUCACUGGACCGGUACUGACGCUGAGACGCGAAAGCGUGGGGAGCGAACAGG
rnacentral:rRNA from 1 species